rnacentral:misc_RNA from 1 species
UGAAAUGCGAAAAGUAAUGCGAUUUGCAUAACUCUGUGAGUCAUCGAGUCUUUGAACGCACAUGGCACCUCGCUGGAGGUGAGCCUGUUUGAGGAUUGGAAAUACAGUGGUUCCCGGGAGGGGGCUGAGAUGGGGCGUCAUCUCUAACAAGAUGUGCCCUGGAAUGGAGGAUGGGUGUGGGCUGGGCACCGAGGGAUAGCAGGGGAUACCUGACGAACUCGCUGGGCAGCAAGCACGCAGGAAAGCGGGCAGAAAAGCACGCAACAAAAUCAUGCAAUCUCAAAUCAGGCUAGAGCACCCGCUGAACUUAA